UGAAAUCAAUAAAGGCAGCGACCAGCGAAAAUCUCCCAUCUUUUGUUGUUUUUUGUUUCCUUGUUUUGCUUUCCAUCUCGAAGAAGAAACUUACGCUUUGCUCUUCUGGAAGCUAAGGCCCAGAGACUCUCCUCUUCUUCACUACCUGCAAUCAAUCUCUCUCUUUCCCUCUCUGUUUUUUGAGUCUGAUAUCAAUGCCCGCACAUAAGCGUUCUUUGCACGACAAUCUCAGUGACGAUGAAGAAGAGCCUACGAACCACCACCACCGUCCCAAGCAAUCUCGUCCCCAGCCUCAACCCCAAGAUGAAGCUGAACUUCUUCUACGACUACAAGAGCAGAAAGGAAAAGUGGUUGUAGAGGGAAGUGAUGAUGAUGAAGAUGAAGAAGAAGACGAUGAGGAACAAGUUAAACAAGACGAAGAAGAAGAUGGAGCAGAGGAUUCUGUGGGUAGCCCAUCUUCUAGCUCUCAAGAAAGACCAGAAUUUGUCUCUGUAGAACUGCCAGACCUACGUAAAGAUGUACAAUGUCCAAUUUGUCUUGGGAUUAUUAAGAAAACUCGAACUGUAAUGGAAUGUCUACACAGGUUUUGCAGGGAAUGCAUUGACAAAUCAAUGCGCCUGGGGAACAAUGAAUGUCCUGCUUGCCGCACACAUUGUGCCAGCCGACGUUCUUUGAGAGAUGAUCCAAAUUACGAUGCCCUAAUUGCAGCUUUAUAUCCAGACAUUGAGAAGUAUGAGGAGGAGGAACUGGCAUUUCAUGAAGAGGAAACGACUCGAAAUAAGCAGAUCCAAGCAUCAAUUGCCCAGGUUUUUCAACGACAAUCUGAAGCUCUAAAUAAGAGACGUUCUUUAGGCAAGGAUUCAACAGACACAUUUACGUCAACAGUGCAACGCAAUCAUCGGAAUGGGAAUUCAAGAAGACGGAAUGCUCGGACCAUGGAAUUUCAAGCAUCUGAAGACAAUGAGGAUGACAAUGUUGGAAAUAACAUUGGAAAAGAUUCGUCUUCCACCGAUGAGCGUCGGCUAGAAAUAAGGCAAAAAAGGCGCAAGAGACGGGGAGGUAUUCAGUCUUCUUCAUCAGUGGCCAAUCUAGAUGGAGGAAACAUUGAAAAUGACUUAGAAGUAAGCCGAGAGAACCAUGGAAUUUCUCUUGGCACUACAUGGUCUGAAAUGCUUGCUUGGGGUGGUGGUGGUGCUCGUAGUAACACACGCCAUGGAAAUGCCAAUGGCUACAACAGUAAGAGUUCUCGAAGCACUCGCUUAUCCAAGUUGGUUGAUUACCUCCGGAGCUUAGAGGAACACAAUGAUGAGUUAGAUGUACAUCUGAUGCUUAUUUCUUUGGACAAAAAAAGUACACCAAGUUUGCAGCAGCCUCACCUAUGCUGUCGGCCAAGUUUGUCAGUUAAACACCUUUGUGAGUAUGUUGCUCGGCAGACACCUUUGCAAGCUGAAGAAGUUGAAUUGUUGGCACUUCGAGGGCGAUUGCCUCGAUGCCAGUCCAAUGAUGAAAAGUUGACUCUAAACCCUUCUACCUCAAUAAACGAUCGGGAUUUGGUGUCCUUGGUAAUUAAUCCAUGCAGUGAUGACCUGCAAAUUUUGGAAGCAGAAGAAACUCUGGCAGGGAUCAAAGCCAGUUGCCCUUCUAGUAGGGACCAUUUGGUAAGUGCAAAUUGGUAACUAGCUCUCUUCUUCAGCCCUGAGAUUUGCUCUUGGUACGUACUAUAAGCAAAAAGAUUCUAUUAUACAGGCAGAAGGCGAGUGGUUAGCAAAUUUUGGAUUUACAGUUAGUUAACUACAAAGUGGACGUCUUGUCUAAUUCAUUGUUGAUAGAAGAAACAAAAUAAUAUUAUAUAUUUAUGAAUACACAAAAUAGAGGGUUGUAAAUUUCGGAUAUUGGUGGAAGAAUUGUUUAAUUA